AAUACCUUAUAUACUAGUCUACUGAGACCUAGGUUUACGUGGUCUAGGGGGGCCUUUAAUAGCCUCCAUACCAAGGAUGAAUUUCAGACAGUUCAGCCACUGGCGCUCUGCUCUUUAUACCAGGGUAUCUACAUUCCACCCUUGCAGGCUCAUCAUCUGGGAGAUCAAGGAGAUUUGUAGAAGCAAAACCAUGAACUUCAAGGAACUUGAGAUUCUUACCUCCACACCCCCCGCACCAUUACAUAGAGACUAGAUGGGAACAGAAUAGUUGAAGCUGACCUUUAGGGUAACUUGGAUCUGGUUUGCAAAAAUGUAUACAUAUGUUCUCUUCCAUACUUUUCAUUAACUCUUUCUCCCCCACCCUCAAGCCUUCUCCUUUUGAAAACUGCUUUGAAAACAUAAGUAUUUAAAUUUUUAAAUCAAUCAGCAGGGCUGAAAGCUAUCACAGCUUUUCCCUAGAGAUCAUUGGUUAUCUGUGCCAGUGCUGGCCUUUCAGGUUUGGGAGUCCACUCACACACAGUGCUGUACCUUAAACACCUAAGCUGCAUCUCAUUACUGGCAAAAGGCACAGGAUUAAAAUCAAGCAGUAAUGUCAAGCUCUCCUACCAAAUAUAACUAAGAUACUACUUCAGAACUCCAAACUGUGGGUGGGGAUUAUACGCAUUACAGGGAGAAGUUAAUGUACAAAAAUCCAACUUUAGGAAAAGAGGGAACAUUUUGGAUGGAUCUAUCCACUUAAAAAACCCUACCCAGCUGGUUUGAAGAUGCAGUUUCAAGGAUCUUGAACACUUUCAAGCCACUCAUCGAGGGUAGACCGUUGUAUUUAAAACAAUCCUGAGACUACACUGACAUUGUCAAAGACUUCAUUUUGGGUUUGCCUACCAUUCUUCGUAUGUGACAGGGUGUGGUCUGUCUUCUUAAGGCACUAUUCAGAUUUGGUUUUGUUUUCCUUAAGGAUUCAGGUCACUCUCCUGUUCGGAGUUUCCUUGUUCGGUGUGGCAUUGGUGUGAGUGAAAUGGAUCAGAAUGAAGCACGACAGGUAAAGGCUUCUUUUGUUUCUUCCUUCUAUUAGCUGCAACAUCUUUCUUUUCUUCUCGGAGAGCCAACAAAAAUCAAAUAGGCAAACGCAUGCACCUAUGGACAAGUUAUCCUGAUAAUUACUAAUGAUUUGGAGACUCAGAUGCAACAUGUUAAUAACUGAGAAUCUGGAACACGGGAAACUAUUUUUUUUUAAAAGGCCAGAAUCCUCAAUAGAAUAGAGGCUACCAGGAAGCACUGGUCUAGAUUUGGCUAGUAAGCCAACAGUUUUAAACUGGUACUGAUAGAUAAACUGGGGUUGUGUAUUUUGUUUUGUCCUCACCCCACCUCCCACCAGAUGAGGAUGACAAAUGAAAUUAUCCACCCACCUCCAGAAUAUCGGGGGGAGGGAGGGUUGUUUGUAUUUUAAGGAAAGAACAAACCAACUGAGCCACUCUAACUGUGCUAUUACCUUAAUGAUAUUCUUUCAAGUUUUCUCUCCCUCCCCACCCCACCUUUUUUUUUUUUUUUUUUUUUGAUAACAUGGGAGCAAGAGGGAACCAAUAGUUCUAAGGAAGCUAAAAGUUAACAUGGCUUUUUCUCUCUCCUUACUGGUGACCCAGGAUCACCAAUGACAACACUACAGCUUUGAGUAGAUGGCUUAAAACCUAAAAUCGCAGCUACCCUUUUAUAGAGCUGCACAAUAUCUUAAUUAGCAAUGGUUCAUUUAAAGGCAGAUCUAAAGUCUCAAAGUCCCUCGUAUCUAGAGCAUACACCAUUUAAUAUUUAAAAAAAAAAAACAGAAUAGAGGACAAGAGACAAUUUACCUAGUUUUAGAAAAAACUUGGCCCAAACAUCUAAAAGCCACCAGGAAAAACAAAACUAUCAUGAGUUGCUAAAAUAUAUGGAAAUACUUGGAGUCGUGUUAUGCAGGACUUGAUUGAAAAAUGCAUCCUUAGAGAGUAAGAUUCUUAAUUUGUUUACUAUUGGCUUAAAAUAUUUUGUUUGUUCAAAGAGUAAGAGAAAAUUACUUUGUUUUGAGAAAAAAUAAUUAACAAACGAAUUAUAAAAGUAAGAUGGAAGCCUUAUAAAAAAUGACAGUCAGGUCUAAUCCUGCAAUAAACUCAGUGCAAACAAUCUGUGUACCCCUGGGCUAGUGGUUUCAAUGGGACUCUAUGUGGGGGCAGUGGUUUGCCCACAAGAACUUGUUUGAGGGUGCAGUGCCUUACUUACCAAAACUGUCAGAACUCAUUACUUCAGGAAACCACAGUUGCCUCAUCUAAAAGAAAUGCCAGGGAAGCAACUCAGGGAACAGUGUCUGCUGUUCCUUAUACAGAAACUAACUGCAGAAAUUACACAGUACACUCUCUUUAUAGAGUUUCAUUAGUGAGGGAAUGACAGGCUGGCUGAGCAGCUUCACUUGUAAAUCACACACUAUCGAGGACAUUACUGAAAGUCACAAUCACUGAACUUACUCUUGUGAGAGGCUGACCACCCUCAACCCUUUGACUUCAAUAGAAUAUUAAAGCACCCAGAACCUUGCAGGACACAGCCCUAUAUUAAGGGCCAAUAAAAGAAUUGUUGGACCACCUACUAAAUGAUGUAAUUCAUAGUAGAAACAAACAAAAAUACGAAGUAGUUCUCACCUAAGUAUUUGUCAUCCAAUUAUUACUUUUACUGUGCCCAAGAGCAUAUUAGAGGCUUUACAGAACACAGAGAAAGACAAGUCCUUCCGCCAGAAAUCUUACAAUCUUGAAGUGUAAUAAACACAAAGGAGUGAAAGUAACACAUGAUUAGAUUUGUAACAUCAAACAACUUGAAUGGCUACAUAUGCUUUUUAAUAGUUCUGGGCUAUUUUGGGUUUGUUUUAUUAUAUAGCCCAUAUUCCAAUCACUAAUUCUUGGCAGAUCAACUCACUUUUUGGAAGCAAUGCUGCAGAUGUGUUUUCAAAAGGGAUUUAAAAAAGGCAAAAUAUUGAGGCCCAUGAAUAGAUUCCAGCAAAGCAUUUCCACCUGGCUUGGAACCACAGCUGGCCAAUCAGACAGGAAAGUCGUUGUUCUACUUAUUACCCAGAACCAAAAUAUAAAUGCUUCUAAACUUGGCAGGAUAAAAAAUGAUUUACUGGACCUAAAUAUUUCAUG